AGCUUUUUGAAUCUGUGUAGAGAUUUCGUCAGAUACCAACUCAUUAGGAUUGACCAGACUUCCAAGGUAAGUGAAGUU
rfam:Schistosoma haematobium scaffold198_31, whole genome shotgun sequence.